AUUGAACGCUGGCGGCAGGCCUAACACAUGCAAGUCGAACGAGUGGCGGACGGGUGAGUAAUGUCUGGGAAACUGCCUGAUGGAGGGGGAUAACUACUGGAAACGGUAGCUAAUACCGCAUACCAUCGGAUGUGCCCAGAUGGGAUUAGCUAGUAGGUGGGGUAACGGCUCACCUAGGCGACGAUCCCUAGCUGGUCUGAGAGGAUGACCAGCCCAACUGGAACUGAACAACGGUCCAGACUCCACCGGGAGCCAGCAGUGGGGAAUAUUGCAAAAUGGGGGAAGGCCUACUGCAGCCAUGCCGCGUGUAUGAAGAAGGCCUUCGGGUUGUAAAGUACUUUCAGCGGGGAGGCGUUACCCGCAGAGGAAGCACCGGCUAACUCCGUGCCAGCAGCCGCGGUAAUAC
rnacentral:rRNA from 1 species